rnacentral:rRNA from 1 species
UAACACAUGCAAGUCGAACGGUAACGAUGGGUGCUUGCACCCAGGCGACGAGUGGCGGACGGGUGAGUAACGCGUAGGAAUCUACCUAGUAGCGGGGGAUAGCUCGAGGAAACUCGAAUUAAUACCGCAUACGCCCUAAGGGGGAAAGCAGGGGAUCUUCGGACCUUGCACUACUAGAGGAGCCUGCGUUGGAUUAGCUUGUUGGUGGGGUAAAGGCCUACCAAGGCGACGAUCCAUAGCUGGUCUGAGAGGAUGAUCAGUCACACCGGAACUGAGACACGGUCCGGACUCCUACGGGAGGCAGCAGUGGGGAAUAUUGGACAAUGAGGGCAACCUUGAUCCAGCUAUGCCGCGUGUGUGAAGAAGGCCUUCGGGUUGUAAAGCACUUUAAGCAAGGAGGAAGGCUAUACGGUUAAUACCCGUGUAGAUUGACGUUACUUGCAGAAUAAGCACCGGCUAACUCCGUGCCAGCAGCCGCGGUAAUACGGAGGGUGCAAGCGUUAAUCGGAAUUACUGGGCGUAAAGCGCGCGUAGGCGGUUUGAUCAGUUGGGUGUGAAAGCCCCGGGCUUAACCUGGGAACUGCAUCCAAUACUGUCAGGCUAGAGUACGAGAGAGGG